rnacentral:rRNA from 1 species
GAAGGUGGCCUGUGAGGGUUGCUGGAGGUAUCAGAAGUGCGAAUGCUGACAUAAGUAACGAUAAAGCGGGUGAAAAGCCCGCUCGCCGGAAGACCAAGGGUUCCUGUCCAACGUUAAUCGGGGCAGGGUGAGUCGACCCCUAAGGCGAGGCCGAAAGGCGUAGUCGAUGGGAAACGGGUUAAUAUUCCCGUACUUGGUGUUACUGCGAAGGGGGGACGGAGAAGGCUAUGUUGGCCGGGCGACGGUUGUCCCGGUUUAAGCGUGUAGGUGUGUGUUCCAGGUAAAUCCGGUUCACUUUAACACUGAGGCGUGAUGACGAGGCACUACGGUGCUGAAGCAACAAAUGCCCUGCUUCCAGGAAAAGCCUCUAAGCAUCAGGUAACAUCAAAUCGUACCCCAAACCGACACAGGUGGUCAGGUAGAGAAUACCAAGGCGCUUGAGAGAACUCGGGUGAAGGAACUAGGCAAAAUGGUGCCGUAACUUCGGGAGAAGGCACGCUGACACGUAGGUGAAGUGAUUUACUCACGGAGCUGAAGUCAGUCGAAG